CGACGGCCACGACUCAGCUGUGAUUUUGUUUCGAAGUGUUUCUGCGCUAUAAAAUAUCAAUAUUGAACUACAUAGCUGAUGCUUGUGAAACCUGUAAGCAAUAUUUUGCAGUUUUCUUUCGUGCUCUAAUCAGCAGGAGCAGAGUGCCGUACAUUUCAAGAUUAUUCUACCUGAAUUAUUUACAUAUUGUUUACAUAUUGUUUAUACGAAUCUUCAUCAGACUGGACAACGUGAGCAAUGUAAAUUGUUAUCAAUUGGAAAACGCGAUACAUAAAGAAAUAAUUAAGUUACAGAAGUAUGUUAAUAUACUUGACUUUGGUAUUUCUAAAAUAAAAAAGUAAAAUAUACUUUUUACUACUUUUCUAAUAAAAUUUCAAUCUUCUGUGGAUUUAUUGUUUGCACAGAUGACAUGUAAAAUAUAGUCUAUGCAAUUUAUAUGCGUUUGUUUGCGUAAUGCAAAUUAUUUAUAUAUUUACAAGCAAAUACGCAACCAGAGAGAAACCUGAGAGCUGAUGUUCGGAGAUGGAAAGUAAUAUUACCUAUUUAUUUAGCACCUGAAAACAAUUAAAGAUUAUGCGACACAUUUGUUCGUGAAUGAAUUGAUUAACAUAGAACCAUGGAAAAAGUAUCCGUUAUCAUGGCAUCCACCGAUAUGUCAAUCACCAAAGUCGUUUAAUGAGCGAUAUAUUACACGUACAUUAUUAGAUGCAACUAUGCAGCAGCAUUCGUCAGAUACUUCACUAAAACCAUUUCUACAUAAUUUGGUUCAUACCACGGACUUGGCAGAAAUUGAUCAAAGAAUUUUAACGGCAAUUGAAACGGUCGCAGCUCCAUAGGUGUUGUCUAUGCUUGCAUCUUUACAUUGGAGAAUAAUGGGAAAACCUCGUUUAGCCUUAGAUUGUUUGCAGUUAACAUUGGAAAGUGUUCCUGAAGAAUUUAAAGAUGUACCUUUAGUUAGUAUAGCUUUGAUACACCAUAAAAUAGGUUUAAUUGACGAUGCUAUAAGAAUUACGGACAAAGCCUUACGAAUUAAUGCUGUGCAGGGAUAAAUUGUUGGAGUAGUCAUAAAAUUGGAUUAUUGGACAUAUCAUAUUACAAUAAAAAAGAACAAUCGCGCCAAGGUCUUACACAUUCAUUAUUACUUCCUAAUAGCGCAACUGAACUAGACGAGCCACAUGUGCAUAUGACUAGAAUUUCAGAUAACAUAAAUUACGACAUGUUACGUACAUACACUGACUCAUCCAAUAAGAUAUCUGACAAUCAAAAAGAGUCCUACUAUCCGAACAAAGAUGAAUGCGACGAGCUUAAAUAUAAAGACUGGGCCGCUUCUCUAUUUGUAUUUCACAAAUUUAUAUGACAAAACUUGAUGUAUGUAGUCGGGUGACUUCGACACUGCUGCAAGUUUCUAUAGAUCUUCGCUUUAACUUGACCCAAAUUUUGAGCCUGCUAUUACAAGGUUGCGAGUAAUACCAUGUUUUUUAUUAUUUGAUGAUGACAAAAAUUUACAAUGAGUGAGAUAUUGCGAAAUACUUUAUAAUACGACUUUUCACAAAUUGUUAAUGCGAAAUAAUUCGAUGAAAGUGCCUUUUUAUAUUGUUAAUACGCAAUAUUUAAAAAAUGUACGUAAGUAUUAAAAACAAGAAAGAAGCAAUUAUGUAGCAAUUACAUGAUACUACGUUAUUAUGUGUAUUACAAUAAAUUUAAAAUGAAGGGAAAAAAUAGUAAUGACACAUACUUAAUUGUUAAAUUAUUACAAAAUUUUAUGGAUAAGAUACUUAUAUUUUCACAUCAAAUUUGUAAGUUUAACAGAAUACAGAACAGAUGAAACAUAAGCUUUUUCUUGUUGUAAAAAUGAUACACUUUUAGAUGUAUUGUUUAUCUGUUAUUGUUUAUCCCAUAUGAAUGUGAUAACUUCUUGUUGUACUUGUGAUCAUGAAGCAAUAUAUUAUUAAAAUGUAAAAAGCAUUAAAUAAAAAAAUAAAUUUUGCAAUGAA